rnacentral:misc_RNA from 1 species
GAUGAAGAACGCAGCGAAAUGCGAUACGUAAUGUGAAUUGCAAAUUCAGUGAAUCAUCGAGUCUUUGAACGCACAUUGCGCCCCCUGGUAUUCCCGGGGGCAUGCCUGUCCGAGCGUCAUUGCUGCCCUCAAGCACGGCUUGUGUGUUGGGCCCCGUCCUCCGAUCCCGGGGGACGGGCCCGAAAGGCAGCGGCGGCACCGCGUCCGGUCCUCGAGCGUAUGGGGCUUUGUCACCCGCUCUGUAGGCCCGGCCGGCGCUUGCCGAUCAACCCAAAUUUUUAUCCAGGUUGACCUCGGAUCAGGUAGGGAUACCCGCUGAACUUAAGCAUAUCAAUAAGCGGAGGA